rnacentral:rRNA from 1 species
GCAAGUCGAACGAGAAAGCACCUUCGGGUGUGAGUACAGUGGCGGACGGGUGAGUAACACUUAGGAAUCUACCUAGUAGUGGGGGACAACUCGAGGAAACUCGAGCUAAUACCGCAUAAGAGCUAUGGAUCAAAGUGGGGGAUCUUCGGACCUCACGCUACUAGAGGAGCCUGCGUUGGAUUAGCUUGUUGGUGAGGUAAAAGCUCACCAAGGCUACGAUCUAUAGCUGGUCUGAGAGGACGAUC